rnacentral:rRNA from 1 species
CUGGCGUCAGGAUGAACGCUAGCUACAGGCUAACACAUGCAAGUCGAGGGGCAGCGAGAAGAAGCUUGCUUCUUGUCGGCGACCGGCGCACGGGUGAGUAACGCGUAUCCAACCUUCCCCUUAGUAGGGCAUAGCCCGUAGAAAUGCGGAUUAAUACCCUAUGUUGUUCGAUGCGGACAUCUAAGUUGAACCAAAGGUUUACCGCUAAGGGAUGGGGAUGCGUCUGAUUAGGCAGCAGGCGGGGUAACGGCCCACCUGGCCGACGAUCAGUAGGGGCUCUGAGAGGAAGGUCCCCCACAUUGGAACUGAGACACGGUCCAAACUCCUACGGGAGGCAGCAGUGAGGAAUAUUGGUCAAUGGGCGCGAGCCUGAACCAGCCAAGUAGCGUGCAGGAUGACGGCCCUAUGGGUUGUAAACUGCUUUUAUGCGGGGAUAAAGUGCGGCACGUGUGCCGUUUUGUAGGUACCGCAUGAAUAAGGACCGGCUAAUUCCGUGCCAGCCGCCGC